UACUUCUUGGUCACUGGGCCAGUAAAAGGAGGUCAUGCUGCUGCUGUGUUCUGUCUCUUGGGUAAGGAUUGUUGGCUGCUGUCCUCGUCAGCAUUUCACCCUGCUGGAAGACUGCUCUGCCAUCCAAAUUCAAUGUAGGUGAAACUAAAAUCACACAGCGUCCAUGUCUGUCUGAAUCUCAUAGGCCAGCAUGUCAUUAUGAGCUAAGUAACUCAUUAAUAUUCAGACAAACUAUCGGAGAUUGUCUAAACUUUCUUGAAACUGAAGACAAACCACAGAACUGAAAAUUGUUGGUAAGCACACUCUAGGGAUUCCAGAUGCAUGACUGGCUGAUUAGAGGCGCACCAGCACCUAGAGCUGUGCAAAACAUUCUGCACAUAAAGUGAAAAGGCAACAUGUGUCUACAGGCCUGAAAACAAUGAUUUAAAGGAAGCUCCAAAAGUGUCUUGUCAGGGAAAUGGUCCAUAUAUUUAGAAGCCACAAAGAUGCUCACAUUAUAAAAACAGAGAUCCCCUGAGCAGAUCUUGCAUGGAGACGGAAUGACUUUUCAUCUCUCAAGAGGGUGGUCCCUUCAGUGCAGUGCUGAAUUAGUCCUUUGGAGUCCCUGAAUAGGAGGAGUAAGGGAAGAAGAGACGGGAACAAGAAGGUGGGAAGGGAAAGAGAGUGAAUGAGAAGUAGAAGGGGAAAAGAGGAGAAGCAAUGGAUGCAGGGAGUACCCCACAAAUACCUUACUUACAGGAAAAACCAUUACAAACUACUGGAACCUGCCAAAUUCCAGUGCAUCAUCCCCAGAAUUCCCACUUCCAGAGGACAUUACGCUGGUUGGAAUGAGACCAUAAUGGCAUCCCAGUCACAAUGAGGCUCACCAAUAUUAGUGUCCUGGAAAAGGCAAAGACCACCAGUAUUGAGGCAAUGAUCAUCCAUCAGCAAUUUUGCAGGACUGGUCACGUUGUCUGGAUGCCAGACUAUUGCCUCCCGAAACAGAUCCUGUUCUCCCAGCUGAAAGAAGGGUACCGUAACGUGGGUGGACAAUGGAAGUGUUAUAAGGACUUACUGAAGGACAAUCUAAAAAAGUGUAAUAUUGACAUUGACACUUGGGAGACACUUGUCCAGGAUCGCUCAAAAUAGAGUGAAGUCCUACAUGGUGGUCCCCUGCAUUUGGAACUUGCUCGCCGACAAGCUGAAGAGGACAAGAGGUACAGAAAGAAGGAGACACUGGCUUCCAGUCAUGGUCAACAGCCUCCUGCUGAGCCUGAAGACAUCUGCCCUCAUUGCAAUAGAACCCGUGGUUCAAGGAUUGGCCUUAUUAGCCACCUGAGGACCCAUAACUCUCAUGGAAGAUGAUCAUACUUGGUAACGAGUGAUCGCCCCAUCAUCAUGUUUCAGUGUAUUGGUGAAUGGGUAUGGAUUUAUGUAUGAGUUUAAAUGCUUUGCUGAAUUGGCUCAAAAUGAAUAGCACCAAACUCAUUUCAACAGGCGUUUUCCAGGUAGUAUCCAGCCCUGAACUUUGUGGAUACCAUUUAACAUUUCUUCUUUUGGUGCCUUUGGGGUGGAAAAGGCAUUUUAAUACCCACACAUUUGCAUGUUUAAUAAACUGAACCUUUUAUUUGCA